CGAACGCUGGCGGCGUGCCUAACACAUGCAAGUCGAACGGAACUGUUUUGAAAGAUUUCUUCGGAAUGAAUUUGAUUUAGUUUAGUGGCGGACGGGUGAGUAACGCGUGAGUAACCUGCCUUCAAGAGGGGAAUAACAUUCUGAAAAGAAUGCUAAUACCGCAUGACAUAUCGGAACCACAUGGUUUUGAUAUCAAAGAUUUUAUCGCUUGAAGAUGGACUCGCGUCCGAUUAGUUAGUUGGUGAGGUAACGGCUCACCAAGACCGCGAUCGGUAGCCGGACUGAGAGGUUGAACGGCCACAUUGGGACUGAGACACGGCCCAGACUCCUACGGGAGGCAGCAGUGGGGGAUAUUGCGCAAUGGGGGCAACCCUGACGCAGCAACGCCGCGUGAAGGAUGAAGGUUUUCGGAUUGUAAACUUCUUUUAUUAAGGACGAAAAAUGACGGUACUUAAUGAAUAAGCUCCGGCUAACUACGUG
rnacentral:rRNA from 1 species